rnacentral:rRNA from 1 species
UGGGGAAUUUUGCACAAUGGGGGAAACCCUGAUGCAGCGACGCCGCGUGAUUUAGAAGGCCUUCGGGUUGUAAAAAUCUUUUCUAUGGGAAGAAAAUGACAGUACCGUAAGAAUAAGGUCCGGCUAAAUACGUGCCAGCAGCCGCGGUAAUACGUAUGGACCGAGCGUUGUCCGGAAUCAUUGGGCGUAAAGGGUACGUAGGCGGCCUAGUAAGUUAGAAGUUAAAGAAUAUAGCUCAACUAUAUAAAGCUUUUAAAACUGCUAGGCUUGAGAGAUGGAAGGGAAAGUGGAAUUCCUAGUGUAGCGGUGAAAUGCGCAGAUAUUAGGAAGAAUACCGGUGGCGAAGGCGACUUUCUGGUCAUCAUCUGACGCUGAGGUACGAAAGCGUGGGUAGCAAACAGG